GAUGAACGCUGGCGGCGUGCCUAAUACAUGCAAGUCGAGCGAACAGAUGAGGAGCUUGCUCCUCUGACGUUAGCGGCGGACGGGUGAGUAACACGUGGAUAACCUACCUAUAAGACUGGGAUAACUUCGGGAAACCGGAGCUAAUACCGGAUAAUAUAUUGAACCGCAUGGUUCAAUAGUUAAAGAAGGUUUUGCUGUCACUUAUAGAUGGAUCCGCGCCGCAUUAGCUAGUUGGUAAGGUAACGGCUUACCAAGGCAACGAUGCGUAGCCGACCUGAGAGGGUGAUCGGCCACACUGGAACUGAGACACGGUCCAGACUCCUACGGGAGGCAGCAGUAGGGAAUCUUCCGCAAUGGGCGAAAGCCUGACGGAGCAACGCCGCGUGAGUGAUGAAGGUCUUCGGAUCGUAAAACUCUGUUAUUAGGAAAGAACAAAAGCGUAAGUAACUAUGAACGUCUUGACGGUACCUAAACAGAAAGCCACGGCUAACUCCGUG
rnacentral:rRNA from 1 species